rnacentral:rRNA from 1 species
AUUGAACGCUGGCGGCAUGCUUUACACAUGCAAGUCGAACGGCAGCGCGGGCUUCGGCCUGGCGGCGAGUGGCGAACGGGUGAGUAAUGCAUCGGAACGUGCCCAGUAGUGGGGGAUAGCCCGGCGAAAGCCGGAUUAAUACCGCAUACGACCUGAGGGUGAAAGCGGGGGACCGAAAGGCCUCGCGCUAUUGGAGCGGCCGAGGUCGGAUUAGCUAGUUGGUGGGGUAAAGGCCUACCAAGGCGACGAUCCGUAGCUGGUCUGAGAGGACGACCAGCCACACUGGGACUGAGACACGGCCCAGACUCCUACGGGAGGCAGCAGUGGGGAAUUUUGGACAAUGGGGGCAACCCUGAUCCAGCCAUGCCGCGUGCGGGAAGAAGGCCUUCGGGUUGUAAACCGCUUUUGUUCGGGAAGAAAUCCUCUGGGCUAAUACCCCGGGGGGAUGACGGUACCGGAAGAAUAAGCACCGGCUAACUACGUG